rnacentral:rRNA from 1 species
UACGGAGGGUGCAAGCGUUGUUCGGAAUCAUUGGGCGUAAAGCGCGUGUAGGCGGCUAUCUAAGUCUGAUGUGAAAGCCCGGGGCUUAACCCCGGAAGUGCAUUGGAUACUGGAUGGCUAGAGGACGAGAGAGGGAAGUGGAAUUCCUGGUGUAGGGGUGAAAUCCGUAGAUAUCAGGAGGAACAUCGGAGGCGAAGGCGGCUUCCUGGCUCGUUUCUGACGCUGAGACGCGACAGCGUGGGGAGCGAACAGG